rnacentral:misc_RNA from 1 species
GGACUUCUUACUCGGUGCAUCCCGUCAGUCCAAGUUAAGCUCCCGAAAUAAUAGUAUGUGGUGUAUUUGUGGCUGGUUGAAAUGGUGAUAGUGAAAGAGAUUUUCUUGGUGCUAGAGUUGAAUAUCAAAGUUUCAGGCUUUACUUUUAUGGUAAUGCCCAGUGGAGGUUCAAUGAUGGCUUCAUAUUUGGAGUUCACUGGUCCAACAUUGGUGACGGUUCUUCUAACUUUU